CCUACGGGAGGCAGCAGUGGGGAAUUUUGGACAAUGGGGGAAACCCUGAUCCAGCCAUGCCGCGUGAGUGAAGAAGGCCUUCGGGUUGUAAAGCUCUUUCGGCUGGGAAGAAAUCGCACAGGCUAAUACUCUGUGUGGAUGACGGUACCAGCAUAAGAAGCACCGGCUAACUACGUGCCAGCAGCCGCGGUAAUACGUAGGGUGCGAGCGUUAAUCGGAAUUACUGGGCGUAAGGCGUGCGCAGGCGGUUGUGCAAGACAGAUGUGAAAUCCCCGGGCUCAACCUGGGAACUGCAUUUGUGACUGCACGACUAGAGUACGGCAGAGGGGGGUAGAAUUCCACGUGUAGCAGUGAAAUGCGUAGAGAUGUGGAGGAAUACCGAUGGCGAAGGCAGCCCCCUGGGCCGAUACUGACGCUCAUGCACGAAAGCGUGGGGAGCAAACAGGAUUAGAUACCCUGGUAGUCCACGCCCUAAACGAUGUCAACUAGUUGUUGGUAGGGUUAAACCUAUUAGUAACGUAGCUAACGCGUGAAGUUGACCGCCUGGGGAGUACGGUCGCAAGAUUAAAACUCAAAGGAAUUGACGG
rnacentral:rRNA from 1 species